GAUGAACGCUGGCGGCGUGCCUAAUACAUGCAAGUCGAGCGAACAGACGAGGAGCUUGCUCCUUGACGUUAGCGGCGGACGGGUGAGUAACACGUGGGUAACCUACCUAUAAGACUGGGAUAACUUCGGGAAACCGGAGCUAAUACCGGAUAAUAUUUCGAACCGCAUGGUUCGAUAGUGAAAGAUGGCUUUGCUAUCACUUAUAGAUGGACCUGCGCCGUAUUAGCUAGUUGGUAAGGUAACGGCUUACCAAGGCAACGAUACGUAGCCGACCUGAGAGGGUGAUCGGCCACACUGAACUGAGACACGGUCCAGACUCCUACGGGAGGCAGCAGUAGGGAAUCUUCCGCAAUGGGCGAAAGCCUGACGGAGCAACGCCGCGUGAGUGAUGAAGGUCUUCGGAUCGUAAAACUCUGUUAUUAGGGAAGAACAAACGUGUAAGUAACUGUGCACGUCUUGACGGUACCUAAUCAGAAAGCCACGGCUAACUACGUG
rnacentral:rRNA from 1 species